GACGAACCGUGCGAACGUUGUUCGGAAUCACUGGGCAUAAAGGGCGCGUAGGCGGGCCGUAAAGUCAGGGGUGAAAUCCUCCAGCUUAACUGGAGAACUGCCUUUGAUACUGACGGUCUCGAGUGAGGUAGGGGUGUGCGGAACUGAUGGUGGAGCGGUGAAAUGUGUUGAUAUCAUCAGGAACUCCGGUGGCGAAAGCGGCACACUGGCCCGAUACUGACGCUGAGGCGCGAAAGCGUGGGGAGCAAACAGG
rnacentral:rRNA from 1 species